ACCCUCUGUAUUUACUUUCAUCAGUGGUGUAACUACCAGGGGUGCAGCAGGUGCAACUGAACCAGGGUCCGUGGUCUCUGCACCCCCGGUGGGGCCCCACCUGGAAAAUAAGGCUCCUGAAUCUACAGAAUUGUCAGGCUAUUGCUUGGCCGCCUAAGGAGGUAAGAAGGACUUCCAUGUGCAAAUUGGCCAUUUAGGGAGCUUUAAGCAGCAGCACUUUCAAUUUGCUGUAAAACCUGGAGCGCCCCCUGAUUGGCCAGUUUGUACAUUGAAGUACAUUGUGCCAUAGAAGUUUUUUUUUCUUCAUCGCUGGCUCCUGUCUGUGUCUCCUGCUGUGUAACCUGAUCCCCCCCAGCCCCCCUCCGUCCUGCACAGAACACGCAGCUAAUGUAGCAGAGGAAUGGAAUGAGCUGACAGCAGCGAGAAACUCCAACUUCUUAUUGACCUGCUGCUUCCCCUGUAACUGUUCAAAGGACACAGAGAGGUGGAUCUCUGAAACACCCAUCGAUUUAAAACAACAGGACACUCCGAGUCCAGUAGCCAGUGAUAUCUCCUAUAAAGAGGAUGCAGCAAAAAAUCCCUCACACACAUGGAACCAAACGUUGAUCCAUCAGAAAAAUGACACUGAUUCAUCAGAGAAUUUACAUACAGACUGUGAGGAGAUCACUGCUCAAAACAGUCAUUUUGUCUUAAGCCAAGAAGUCCAGGAAGCCAGUUGUACAGAAUUGUUUAUAUAAACUAUAGCUUGUUUAUAUAAACUAUAGUAGUACUUAUCUGUUAUCUACUGUGUAUCCUGUGCUUGAAUGGCUGCCCCCAUGGCUACACAGCAGCUUGUU